UACGUAGGGGUGCAAGCGUUGUCCGGAAUUAUUGGGCGUAAAGCGCGCGUAGGCGGGUUGGUAAGUCCGCUGUGAAAGCCCGGAGCUCAACUCCGGAGGGUCGGUGGAUACUGCCAGUCUUGAAGGUGCUAGGGGGAGAUGGAAUUACCGGUGUAGCGGUGAAAUGCGUAGAUAUCGGUAGGAACACCAGUGGCGAAGGCGGUCUCCUGGGGCAUUCUGACGCUGAGGCGCGAAAGCUGGGGGAGCAAACGGG
rnacentral:rRNA from 1 species